rnacentral:rRNA from 1 species
UGGGUAACCGUGCCUUAUACAGGGGGAGUAACAGUCAGAAAUGGCUNCUAAUACCGCAUAAGCGCACAGAGCUGCAUGGCUCAGUGUGAAAAACUCCGGUGGUAUAAGAUGGACCCGCGUUGGAUUAGCUAGUUGGUGGGGUAACGGCCCACCAAGGCGACGAUCCAUAGCCGGCCUGAGAGGGUGAACGGUCACAUUGGGACUGAGACACGGCCCAGACUCCUACGGGAGGCAGCAUG